rnacentral:lncRNA from 1 species
CACUUGCACUGCGGGUGCUCUCUGGCCCCCACCCCAUCAUCGCGCAACACACCCCCUUCAACAUGCGCGGCCACCCUUUCAUUGCCCUGCGCCCCGAGCGGUCCCACCGCCCGGCAAAACACUGAGCAAGCCGCUGCUCUCACCUUGCUUGACACACUUGAGCCGGAGGGGGUCCUUGCAGUGUUUGAUCACGGCCAGCACGUCCCUGAUGGUGAGCCCCGCCACGGGGGUCUCGUUCACCUCCAGCAGCAGCUCCUCCGACACCAAUUUGCUGCCGCUCUCAUAGGCCACCUUGCCGGGCUUCACCUCCCCCAGCAGAGGAAGCAGUGGUGGUGGCGUCGGCGGCGGCGGCGGCGGCAGCCGGAGCGAGCAGUAGCCGAGCUGGUGAGCGGGUGUGGUGGGGGUGGGGAAGGAGGGUAGGGAUGCCGGGGGCCACUCCUGCGUGGUGCGAGUGGGAACGCGCGCGCGCGCCUGGGACUGUGGUGAGGAUGAAAUCAGGGAAAUCAGUCACAGCAGUGCUCUCCUGGCACAGGCAGGAGAAUCGCUUGAACCCAGGAGGCAGAGGUUGCAGUGAGCCGAGAUCACACCACUGCACUCCAGCCUGUAAUGUCUUACAAUAACAGAAUGCAGGAGAGCACAUAUCAAUGAAGAAAAGACAAAAUGUACUUAUCCAUGAAGCUGAGGUUAAGAAACCAGUGUCUUCAAGAGCCAGGGACAGCACUGGGUCUGUGCAGAGUUGAGAGAUGGUGAUGACAUGUGGUUUCCAGCAUUCCUCACCCAGUCCAGGGACACUGUGGGUGUGCCCAGCUUAAGUCCAGUAACUGGAAAUACAAGCCCAAGUUCUGGAGAGUUUGAGCUGCAGAGAUAUAUAUGGGAACACUUUGAAUCUUGACUCAUUGGCCAUAACCAGCAGAGUGGAAAAUACAAGAAGAGAAAAAAACAUUGAACUGCGAUUUUAUAACAUCCUUUACUAGGCAGAGAGAAGAGGAAACACCAGGAAAGAAAACUGUAUUACGAUGUGAAAACUUAAUGUUGAGAAAUUCAGGCAUCUUGGGGUUAGUGAGGAGAAGUUUUAGGGGCUUAGAUUCUUCUAAACACAUGUACAGAAAUGCAUAUUUCAUCUGAUAUCAAAUGGCAUUUAUAGUGCUAAUCUUUACCUCAAGACUUCACAUCUUUUGGUGAUUGCAUCUUUUAGGUUUAUAGCAGCUAAGUUUGCAUGAAAACACCAGGGCUGUUUCAUUUCAGUCAAGAAUUAAUGUUCAUUGAUUGUGCUUCUGCAUUUCAUGUAACUAUUGUAGAAUUUGUUUUAGUUUUAUGAGGGAAUAAUUGUUCCAACUUCUAUAUAACUCAGGAAUUUACUCUCAAACAACACUGUCAAUUAGUUACUUAUCUCUCUGGAAAUGAUCUGGGAACAUGGAGAGGAAAGGGAGGAAGGGGCAAAAUCUGACCACUUAAAUCUAAGCAUAUUAGAUCAUUUUAUGCUAGAAAGUCCUGAAUGAUGUGACUUUCGUUCUUGUAAAACACCUCUUUCCAUAGAUUCAUGGCCCAAACAGUAUAUAAAGAGUGGGGAAGGAACUGCAUUUGCAAAUAGUUCAAAUCAUUGCUCCAUCUUAACUACGCAGUUCACAAAGUGUGAAGAAAUGUGAUCAUCUCAAAAAAGAUAAUGGGGAAAAAAUAUGUUUUGUUCUGUGACUUUAAAGUCUUGCAAUAUUUUACAUAAAUGAUAAUGGGUGCUUUAAUAAGAACUCUUGAUACUUUUGUUAUUGUAUUCAAUAUAUGCAUAUAAUACAACAGGAUGAUAUUGUUUUGGAUUUGGAAAUGUAUUCUUUCUUAUGCAAUCUUAUGCAGUCAUACUGCUUGAAUAUCAUUACCUGAAUUUAUCUUUCUUUUUUUUGUUGUUGUUUUACACUCUACUUAUUUGGUGCCUGUCAGUCUUUUGUCGUCAGUUUAUAUUCUACUAAACUCAAAAAGACAAUCUCAUACCUUUUGUAAUUGUAGGCAUUCUUUACUAGAUUUUUAAAUACACUUCAAAAAUUCAAGUACUUUGAUUUCAUGCCAUCAAGUAGCUGAAUCUAUCCCCCCGUCUCUUUUUAAAUUUAAGUGAGUAGUUCAAUUUCUGUCACUUUCUACUUUGUGAAUUCUAAAUCUUUUAAAACCAUCUUGCCAUUUUUCGUGCACUUACCCUUACAGAAAACUCUGUGAAACACUACUUAUCUCUACUUUUAUGUUUUUAACUCCUUUUUUAUAUUACUAUUCCCUCUGCUUUCUAAAUGCACAUAUUAAUUUGUUCUUUUUAUUCUCUGUAGCUCUUCUCAGUGUAUGAAUUCAGUUUCCCAUCAGUCUCCAUACAAUUAAAAAAAAGUUGAGUAUUCUGUUAUUUUAAUAAGAUAUCUAGUGCCCAUAUUCUAAUUCUGCCCCUUAUUUUUAAUAUAAUUUUAUUGUUGAUUUAAAAUGACAACAGUUUCAAUUCCCAGAAAGUGAAAGGAAACAAAGGAAUAAUAUUAUAGGCUUAAUUUUUAUCAGUGAACUUGUAGGUGAAGAAAAGAUUUGGGGAAGGAAAUGAACAUAUUAUAUUGCAAAAUAGUAAGGAACAAUCAGAUGUGUUUUCUAGUCUCUGGAAAAGCAUGUUUCAAGAAAUUCAAUGAAAAGUUCAUCAUGCUUGCUUAGAUUGUUGAGAAGCAAAAACACUGAUGAACAUUUGGAAGCAAUGAGAAUGUAAUUCUAAUCAUACUCUUUUAAUAAUGUUGCAAAACUCUCCAAACACUACUCUGUGUGGAUGUCUUUCAGAAUAUGAUGAAUACUAGUAGUCUUAUUCUGCCCUUUUCUCUCUAUCACAAUAUAUACAUUCUAUAUUGCAUACACAUAUUUUCCAAAUAUUACAUAUAAUUUCAUGUAAUUUAUAGACCUAUUAAGGCCCAACCAUUUUCUUGGAUAGGGGAUUCUUUAGAAGUCCAGCUUAAAUAAAGCCCGUAUAGAAAGUUUUUUUAAAAUUUAUACAUAAUCACCUAAAGUAACCUUAUCUACUGAACUCUUAGUACAUGCUACUGGAACCUUUUAUCAUGUUUCUUCCUGGCUUGCAUUACAACACUGUUGACAUAUCUCAGCCUUACUUCUAGGCUUCUUUGAGAGCAUGACUCAUGUUUGUAUUCCUCACUGAGGUUGAAUGAAUAAGAGAAACUACAGUAGUAGGAAAAAACAGUACAUGUACAUAUCAAUGAAUAUGAAAGGGUCAAAUGGAUCUAUUAUAGUAAGCACAAAAUCAACUGACACCAGCAAAGUAAACCCAAAAUUUUUAAUGGUAUUUUAAUAGAUCAAGAGGAGCAAGCAGAUUUUUGAGACAGUUGUCUCCUACUUUCUCUAUCACAGGGAGUAAUUUUAAAAGAAAAAUGGAGGGUAAGUUUCUUUAAGAGAAAAUUGUAGUUUAAAACAGGUCAUGGGAUAAUUAGAAAUAAUUUAAUUUCUUUAGAGGAUUUUAAUCUUUCAACUGCUUGCAAUUAGAUCCUAAGGCAAUAAAAGAAUAAGGAGAUUUGGAAAACCAUUGUCUGUAAUCUCUGAAGAAAAGUGGACAUUAGGGGAGUCAGUUGAAAAGCAAAGCUAUCACCAUUUUCUAAAGAGGAAAAAGGUGAACCUCACAAACUAUAGACCAAAAAAAUAGGACAUCGAGAGAAAGAAUAUGAAGCUAGCAUAGGUUCACAAAGAAUGAGUCAAAUCAAACAACAUGCAUUUUUUAUUUAUAAAGCAUGACUUGUUCAUUGUCAAUUCAUGUUAGCUUAAUCAUUAGGCAUUAAUGCCAUCACUGCAAUGCAUAUGUCAGCAAUAAAUAAUCAAAGACCAGGCUUCCAUCAUUCUGUUUAAUAUCUUCAAGUAAUGCUUAAGUUUGCAAAUGCUCUUUUAACACAUUCUCCAUAUGCAGCCUGCCCAGCACUGCACACAAUAGACCUGUUACUUCCCCCUCACGAGCACUCCUAAUAUUUCAUGUGCUCAUCCAAUUGACUUCUCCCACUGGUGCCUCAUAUUGAAUUUGUAGAAUCACACCUGCUCCUUUUUCAAAACUCUUCUGAGUUUUUUCUUAAAUAAUUCACUGACCCCAAAGUUGUCAGAUAUUUGAAGACUACUCGCACAAUUUUAAUAUUAUAAAUGUAUAAUGUAAAUGUAAUUAAGAUUUGUAUAAUGUACGAUGUACUUUGGUAAAUAAAAGUAUGCUGUGAAUAAAUACGUAUGAUACAAUUCAAAAUUUUACAUAAAUAUGUGAUAAAAUUUAGCUCAUAUUCUUUUUUUUUUUCUUUGAGACGGAGUCUCACUCUGUUGCACCCAGGCUAGAGUGCAGCAGCAUGAUCUCAGCUCACUGCAACCUCUACCUCCUGGGUUCAAACAAUUCUCCUGCCUCAGCCUCCUGAGUAGCUGGGAUUACAGGUGCCCGCCACCAUGCCCAGCUAAUUUUUUUCUAUUUUUGUUGUUGUUGUUGUUUUUAGUAGAGACGGGGUUUCACCAUGUUGGUCAGGCUGGUCUUGAACUCCUGACCUCAGAUAAUCCACCUGCCUCGGCCUCCCAAAGUUCUGGGAUUACAGACGUGAACCACGGUGCCCGGCCUAGUUCAUGUUCUUUAAGGACAAUUAUGAAUAUUUUUAUGCACUGUUAAUUUUCAUUAAGAUAUUGAUCAAUUAAUAGCUAUAUAUGUUCUAUAAAUUAAUCCUAUCUAGUUUCAAUCUUAAAUUGUUUGCAUAUACCAAUCUAGUUUAUUGUUUGCAUAUAUUUUAUAGUGUAGAGAUUAGGCAUUUUAAUAAAAUUUUAAAAUUUCCAGGACAUACUGUUAAUGACUAUGCUUCCUACUAUAGGCCAUAAUUAAUUUUUUUCUAUUGUCAACAAUAUUUUGGUAGGGAUGAUCAGGAAAUAAGGAAAUGUUUCCUUCAUUUGUUAACAAUAGGUGUUUGGGGAUUUUAAAAUGAAAAUUGAAGAAGUAAAAGACACCAUAUAUUUAGUUUGUUUGAUUUCGUGGCUUCAAGAGUUCAAUAAUUUAUUGAAAUAUUUUACAGACCAAAGAACAACAGAUAUAUUACGUUUAUAAGCCCCCACAUAUUUUAAAGGAUAAUGGUUUAUAUAUGAAAAUUCCCUGAACCUACACUUCAUCAGGAAAAGCUAAAUAAAAGAAGUUUACAUUUCCUAGGACUAAUGGAGAUUUAUUUCCCAGUCCUCUUCUCUGGAGACAAAUGUAGGUCUCUCUUGAAAAGCAGAAAGUUUUGCAUAUGAGGUAUGAUUUAGUGGGCUAGAAACAUCUUUUCCACCCUCCCCAAAAUGUUUCACUAUGUUUUAUCAUACUAUCUGAUAAUUUUGCACUAAAGUUUUCUUUCUGUGUUAAGAAAAUGCAAAUAUCUCUGAAUGGGUCUCUUUGCUUUAGUCAUACUCAUAUGGCUACUACUGAACAAAAUAUGUUCAUUACAGGAUGAAGGGAAUGUUGCCAGCCAGCAAAUCCCUAGAGUUUGCACUACACCAAACGUUGCUUAGCAAUUUCCACGAUUUUCUCAGUCUAAUUUGCAAGAAUCAAGGAGAUGUUUGUGUAUGCUACAUGAAGUUGUAAAAUUGGUAUUUAUUGUAUGUUUCUAUAUCGAAAGCUUUACAAACAAAGGAAAUGGAAAGUUAACAGGUGGAUAUGAUAGUGUGGCACUACUUUAGCUGGAUGGUAAGGGAGAGCUUCUCUUAGGAAGUGUUUUAGGCCAGGACUUGAAUAAUGAACAGUAUCUAGUUGUACAAAAAUCUGGAGGAAAGACUUUUCAGGCCCAGGAGAAAUGAAAAUUCUUUUCAUGCAUACAAGAAUGAAAGUGAAAAUUACCUACUCUAUGUCCUGAAGUGGGAAGUUGGCUUGCCAGAGAGUAGGUAAUUUUCACUUUGAUUCUUUCAUGCCUUCAGUUAUACUACUUCUUAGGUUAGUUCAUAAGGGUUUCCACAAUUUGGUUCCCACUUAAAAUUUAAAACUUCCCUAACCCAUUCCCACCAUAUAUUGUGCUAAUCCAUGCAUAUGUGACUUUGCGUAUGCUGUUUUCAUUGUUUAAUAUUCUUCUCAUGCAUUCGUUCUUUCCUGAUAACGAACUCAUCUUUGAAACUCCCCUUCAAGCAUCCUCUACUUUAGGAGGCCGCUUCUCACUGUCUCCUGCCUACCACCCAUUGAAUUGUUCAAUUUUUAAGCUGCCAUUGUCUUGUGCAGUUGACACAUUUCUUUGCAAUUACUGAUUUACAUGUCUGCUUUUAUCACUGGUGAGGUUCUUUAGGACAGAGACAUUAUUAAUUCAUCUCUGGGCACAUAUGUUCCAACAUAUUAGAAGUACUACAGAGUGCUAUUACUAUGUAGUAUGUAGUAUUAGUAGUAGUUACUCACAAAUCAUUUUUAAAUAAGUGAUUAUAAUAUCUUUUUGUUAUUAUGAUUUAACACAAGAUGGAAUUUAUUUUCAGAAGUUUCCAUGAUAUAUUUGUUCUAUUUAAAAUCCAAUAGCCAUUAGAAUAUUACCAUUAUUUAAUGUAAAACAAUAAAAUAUUAAAUAUGAUCGUUCAUAUUUAAUGCAAACCGAACUCAUGGAAAUAUUGUGUAAAGAUCAAGUAAUUUUUGACAUACAAUUUUAAACUCAACUUUUCAUAUAGCAUACCUUAUGAUAUAUUUUCAGCCUACUUUUAAAUAUGUUGGCAUUGAAAGCCAGUUACUAAUUCGCUGAAUUCAUGAUUUCUUUUUAAGUUAUAGAAGUGGAAUUAUGUUUGAGAUAUUCAUUGCAUUACAUUUACCAGAACUUGAGUUCUUAACAUGGAACCUGAGAGUUUCUCCAAUUCUUAAGUCCCUGGGAGAAAUAGAUUAGCUGGAUGAGGAACUGAGAGGAAAAAUGGUCAGAGAUGUAGCAAGAGUUGGGAAGAAGGAACAAUGAUUUGCUUUCAAGGAGAUUUUUUCAUUGGUCUGUUUUCAGUGACAAACCCACUGCGAUAAUACAUGUAAAGUGAAAACAUUCAGGAAGUUCCCUUAGAAACCUCUUUUCUGGCAGUUCCUAAUUCUACAACAUUGUAUAAGUGAAAUACCAUAGUUACUGUCAUAGUAAAUUGAGCCAAGAGAAACAAGGGAGCAGGAGAAGAAAAGAAUUAAAGAGAGUUUUGUCUUUCAGUCUUCACUCUGUUUCUUCUUGCUUUUACCAGUCAUUCAGGUUUAUAUAAUUUCUUUAGAGAGGCUUCUACUAUGCAGGUCUUCCUUAAAGUCAUUGGUAUUACCUGGCAUGAUAUGUGAGCCUUUAAUAUCAGUCCCUUUAUCUCUUUAUUUUUAAAGUUUAUAUCAGUACAGAGUCCUGGAUUCUUAAUUAAUUUAAUAGGUUAGACUUUAUGCUAAUAUUCUUCAUUUUGAUGCUCAAAUUUUCCAAAAUUUGGCCAGCAGGGUUCCUUAAAGCUGGGUACCUUGCCCUUUCAACAUGUCCCUCUGAUUCUUUAUUUUUAUUUACUUAUUUAUUUAUUUAUUUAUUUAUUUAUUUAUUUAUUUAUUUAGAGACUGAGUCUUGCUCUGUCUCCCAGCCUGGAGUGCAAUGGCACAAUCUUGGCUCACUGCAACCUCUAUCUCCCAGGUUCAAGCAAUUCUCCUCCCUCAGCCUCCCGAGCAACUGGGACUACAGGCAUGUGCAACCAUGCCUGGCUAAUUUUUUUUGUAUUUUUAGUAGAGACAGGCUUUCACCAUGUUGGUCAGGCUGGCCUCGAUCUCCUGACCUCAAAUGAUCCAUCGCCUCGGCCUCCCAAAGUGCUGGGAUUACAGGCGUGAGCUGCCACACCCAGCCGUCCCUCUCAUUCUUUAAGUACUUCCAUGUUUUCUAAGGUACAAGAUGUUCCAUAUUAUUUUGUUAUUUGUCUUCCCCAGCUCUGAAAUCUGCCUUUCCUUCAAGGAGCCUUGGUUCUUUCUAGUGACAAAUUAUAUUUAGAAAGAAGAUCUGGGUAUUUGACUUGUAUAUUGCUAUUAAUUGGCCAUUGUUUCUAGUCUCUUUCAGUAGACAGAGCUAAGAAAUGUAAAAGGAAAUAUUUGAAUGUAUGUAUAUGUGAUAUAUUAAGUACAUUUAAACAUAUUAAAUUCAUGAGUUCAUACUAAUACUUUCAAUAAGCCACAAUUCCCUUUUCAUGUUUUCGAAGGAAAAAUAUCCAUUGUCUAUAUACAGUGGACAUAGAUAGUAAUAAUACUGAUCUUGAAAAGAGCAGUCUUAAAUAGAUCCCAUUAAUAGUUAAAGAUAACAUAUCUUAGAAUUCUAGAUAUUAGAGAGAUUAUCUAGAGCUGUAAUCUAGAUAUUUUAUAGAUCUUUGCUGUGCUGUUUUGAAUUUGUGUUGGAGUAGAACAAUCAGAUGACAAAAGCUCAUCCCACAUGGAAAAAUCAAAGCAUUCAUUACAGAGAGAAUUUUGAAAUAAAUGCAUAUAUAAAAAAUAUAUAUGCAUAUAUAAUGCAUAUGUAUAUGCAUAUAAAAUAUAUAUAUAUAAAAUGAGGGUUAUAAACAAUGAAGGAAAUAGUGAUACUAUCUAUGUGGGAACAAUACUAGUAUCCUCCCUUUGGAUGAAUACAGUAGCUACAGAUGCAAUUCUGGGGACUCUGUUUAGCAAUAGCUUAACUAUUGCUUGGCUACAAGCAUGGAUAACUUGUUCAAAGAUAAUGAGGAGUUGUAAAUAUUUAAAUAAACAGGAUUUGCAACAUAAAAAGCUUUGUGACUAUGUGUCUGAAUUCUUAGAGUUUUCUCCCAGCAAGACCUUGGAUGUGGCAGACUUUUCUGUAAUUGUCCAUCUCGCCCCUAUUUCAUGAAAAGCCAGAGCUUCUCUACUUAGUUUGCUAACCCCAAAUAUAUAAAUUCAAUAGAAGUACUAGCCUGUUUUUACUGGUUUAUUUGCUUUAUCUAAAAAAAACAAGGCAUAGUUUAAAGUCUGUUUUUGAUAGCAUAACAAAACAAAGGUUCUCAUUUUAAUAAUGCAUCACAUAUACACUUGGUAACUAUUGCAUAGUAAUAAUUUAAUAACUUGAGAAAUAUAUUUAUGCAUGUAUGUGUAUAUGUUCAUAUAUAUGUUAUUUUUAAUUCAGAAGUAAAACAAAUAUUGGAAGAGGCCACAGUUAUUAUAAAAAUAAUUUGACCAGUAUUGGACAAUGCAAAUAGCAAUCAUUUAGAAGUUUCU